rnacentral:rRNA from 1 species
CUACUGCGGAGACAUUAUCGAGUUUUUGGCGGGGUUGUAGCUGGCCUUCCGAGGCAUUGUGCACGCCCUGUUCAAUCCGCUCUUACCCCUGUGCACUUAUUGUGGGCUUCGGAUGGCAAAGCCGGCUUAGGCAGGCGGAGCGUCCGUGCCUGCGUUUACCACAAAACCUGUAAAGUAAUCGAAUGUGUAUUGCGGUGUAACGCAUCUAUAUACAACUUUCAGCAACGGAUCUCUUGGCUCUCGCAUCGAUGAAGAACGCAGCGAAAUGCGAUAAGUAAUGUGAAUUGCAGAAUUCAGUGAAUCAUCGAAUCUUUGAACGCACCUUGCGCUCUUUGGUAUUCCGAAGAGCAUGCCUGUUUGAGUGUCAUGAAAUCUUCAACCUACGAGUCCUUGUGGCUUGUUAGGCUUGGACUUGAAGGCUUGUCGGCCGCGGUCGGCUCCUUCUAAACGCAUUAGCCCGAGUCCUUGCGGACCGGCUCUCGGUGUGAUAAUUAUCUACGCCGUGGCCGUGAAGCGUGUGGUGGGCUUCUAAUUGUCCCUUGGGACGCAAAAAUGACCUCUGACCUCAAAUCAGGUAGGACUACCCGCUGAACUUAAGCAUAUCAAUAAGCGGAGGAA